rnacentral:rRNA from 1 species
UACAGAGGUCUCGAGCGUUAGGCGGAAUCACUGGGCUUAAAGCGUGUGUAGGUGGAUGCCUAAGUACCUUGUGAAAUCCCACAGCUUAACUGUGGAACUGCUUGGUAUACUGGGUGUCUUGAGUCACUCAGGGGCGAGCGGAACAAAUGGUGGAGCGGUGAAAUGCGUAGAUAUCAUUUGGAACGCCAAUGGUGAAAACAGCUCGCUGGGGGUGCACUGACACUGAGGCACGAAGGCCAGGGGAGCAAACGGG